GCAUCGGUGGUUCAGUGGUAGAAUGCUCGCCUGCCACGCGGGAGGCCAGGGUUCGAACCCCGGCCGAUGCA
rnacentral:tRNA from 1 species